AUGGGGGGAGAAGAAGAUGAUUCUGACUUGGAUCUAGCCUGGAAAAUGUUAGAUAUUGCAAGGGCAAUAGUGGAGAAGAAUCCAGACAACACUAUGGAGAAAGUGAAAAUCUUUUCUGCUCUAGCUGAAGUCUCCAUGGAAAGAGAGGACAUAGACAACUCACUUGGUGACUACUUCAAAGCUUUGGCCAUCUUGGAGCAUUUGGUUGAGCCUGACCAUCGUCGAAUUGUUGAACUUGCUAGACACUUCCGCAUUUGUUUGGUCUAUGAGUUGGCAUCUAAGAUUGCAGAUGCGAUCCCAUAUUGUGCAAAGGCUGUUUCAUUGUGCAAGUCACGUUUAGAGAGCCUGAAAAAAGCGAAGGAAACCUUGUUGGCUGAUAAAGGUGACAGUGCAUCUACUGCUGAUGGAGACUCAAAGAAAUUGUCUAUUGAAGAUGAGCUGGAGGUUGUUACUGGUAUAUUGCCUGACCUUGAGAAGAAGCUUGAAGACCUGGAGCAAGCAAUGGCAACCCCAAGCUCUGAAAUAGAGGAGAUUAUGAAAAGCAUUGCCGCAAAGGCAGGGUUUAUGCAGAAGGCUGGCAAUGCCGUGGCACCAAGAGCUGCAUCUUUGACUUCUUCACAAAUGGGUGGAGUAAACAAUGGCUUUGACUCCCCAACUAUGUCUACAGCAGCAACAUCCGGAAGCACUGGAAGUACUGUUACCGACCUUGGUGUUGUAGGCAGAGGCAUCAAGCGAGCUAAUAUCAAGCCUAUUUCCGCUGAGCCUUGUUCGAAGAGACUGGCAGCAGAUGAUUCACCGUCUGUGAAAUGCGACAGCAGCAACAUCUCAGAUGUUCACCCCACGGGGCAAGAUGGCGAGGGUUCCGUAUCAAAGUAG
rnacentral:rRNA from 1 species